rnacentral:lncRNA from 1 species
AUAGAGAGUACAGUAGGUACUGCUUUUGUUUUGGUUAGAACAAUGCUUCUCUUGAUUUUUGUAUAUUUUAGUUGCUCGCUUCCAUCUCCCUAUUUGUGCUUUGGCAGAUAAUUGGGGAUAAAAAGGGAGUAGUUUUUGGUGGAUUAGUAGAGGGUCCUUUGCGGCCGAUCAUGCAAAGGAAGUAUGAGGUUUCACUUCUUCACAUAUUCUUAUGGUGUUUCUUGGAUGUGUAUUCUACCUUACAGGAUUACACCAAUUGUAGUUUACGCCAUCUUUCAAGGGACCAAGAACUACUUCGUGUUCACCAAUGUAGCUGGUCGCCCUGUUAUAUAUCAUGCAACGGGUACUUAUCUGUUACUUUGACAGGAUUUGCAUUGCAUAAGGGAAAUAAAAUCUUUUCUGCAUUUGUUUCCAUCUUUAUAACAACUAUACGAACGAAUGUGCUAUUGGCACUAAGGUGCCUCCCUGGUACAAACCAAACACAUACUUUUUGUUAUGUGGAUGUAUCUCGUGAAGGAACUACGAAAAGUAUGUACGUUGUGGUGCUUUAUUUUGUAAAUAUUUGACUGCAUAUUAUUUUGUAAAUCAUAUCAGCUGGUUUCGUCACUUCAAUAAUGAAUAUAAUUCUUCUAUAUAUUUAAAGGGUAGCUUGCGUAAGAUGAAAGUUUUUUCACUGUUAUUUUAUUCUUCCUUUGUCAUCCUUAUAUGAUAAAUUUCUGGACUGAUAUAGUGUGGUAUGUAUUAUACAGUACAACUGAAAGCAAUACAUUAUAUUAUCAAUCUUUGUUUCUAGUUAAUUAUAUGAAUCACAGUAAAAAGGAUACUUAUAUGGACGAUAUUACAGUACAUGCAUCGAUCUAACGUUUAUAGUUUAAUCAACCAGCUCACCUCAUCUUUUUGUUUGGGUUUGAGAUAGCUUAUCGCUUGUGGUGGAGCGGUAACUCUCUCCUUGUUUAAUCUAGCUAUGAGUAUUUUGAAACAAAGAGAGUAUAAAAUUUCUGGACUGAUAUAGUGUGGUAUGUUUUCACACAUUUGGUACCUCUGCCCGGUUAAUCAUGUUGUGCAAUUCUAUUCAGGCCUGGUUUAGGGAACUACCCGAAGGCGUGCUUGAUAGCCUCUCACCAGAG